UGGGGAUGACGUCAAGUCAUCAUGGCCCUUACGAGUAGGGCUACACACGUGCUACAAUGGCAUAUACAAAGAGAAGCGAACUCGCGAGAGCAAGCGGACCUCAUAAAGCAUGUCGUAGUCCGGAUUGGAGUCUGCAACUCGACUCCAUGAAGUCGGAAUCGCUAGUAAUCGUAGAUCAGAAUGCUACGGUGAAUACGUUCCCGGGCCUU
rnacentral:rRNA from 1 species